GCUGCAACAAGAUAUUGUAAAAUCCACUCUUCUUUCUCUUAGCUAUUUAUUUUUUUCUGCAGUUUGUAAGUGCUAAUUGAUGCACGUGGUGGUUUUAGGAGAGAAAACCUGCUACAAUUAGGUUUUGUUGAAUCUCCCGAUUGAAUUUUCUGUUGUUAUGCAUCCUUCAUCGCGUACACAUGAUAAUUAGUUCUCUCACAGGCAAGCAGAAAGGAGCACACGAGUUGUGUGCCCAUACUUGCAGGAGCGGGGUUGUUCAGGUAGUUUUUGAGGCCUCGAUCCACUACUGGCAGUGUUGUUUGCAGAUAUGAAGUCUCUUUGCAUUUGAAGAGCCAGGAAGGUAGCACCUUGGGCAGUAUUUAUCCGAAGCAACAAGGGGGGUCAAGAAAUUAUGCUCAAGUUAAAACCUCAUAUGUGAGUUGAUUUUUGUAUGGGUUAUUUAUUCUGUUGUAUAGACCUUGGACGACCUUAGAGUAAGAGCUGCUAUGUAAUUGAAAUCUGAUCCACUAACACAAUGAAACUUCCAUGAAAAUUUA